rnacentral:rRNA from 1 species
GUAACGCCACAGCUGCAAGCUAUUAACUUACAACCUUUCCUCCCUACUGAAAGUGCUUUACAACCCGCAGGCCUUCUUCACACACGCGGUAUUGCUGCGUCAGGCUUUCGCCCAUUGCGCAAUAUUCCCC